rnacentral:snRNA from 1 species
GAUUCUUCUCAGCCUAUUGGCUAAAAUCAAAUAUAGUAUCUGUUCUUAUAAGUUUAAUAUCUGAUAUGUUUUGAUUGGGCACCACCCAGAGUUUGUUAUAAGAUGGGGAGCUGUAUAAAUCUUA